rnacentral:pre_miRNA from 1 species
UCCCCUGCUGUCAGUAACAAGGAUUCAACCUGUUGUUAAGUUGCCACCCAACAGGGGAUCUAUGUUACUGGGGUCAGGAGA